CCUACGGGAGGCAGCAGUAAGGAAUAUUGGUCAAUGGAGGCAACUCUGAACCAGCCAUGCCGCGUGCAGGAAGACUGCCCUAUGGGUUGUAAACUGCUUUUAUCCGGGAAUAAACCUACUUACGUGUAAGUAGCUGAAUGUACCGGAAGAAUAAGGAUCGGCUAACUCCGUGCCAGCAGCCGCGGUAAUACGGAGGAUCCAAGCGUUAUCCGGAUUUAUUGGGUUUAAAGGGUGCGUAGGCGGCCUGUUAAGUCAGGGGUGAAAGACGGUAGCUCAACUAUCGCAGUGCCCUUGAUACUGAUGGGCUUGAAUGGACUAGAGGUAGGCGGAAUGAGACAAGUAGCGGUGAAAUGCAUAGAUAUGUCUCAGAACACCGAUUGCGAAGGCAGCUUACUAUGGUCUUAUUGACGCUGAGGCACGAAAGCGUGGGGAUCAAACAGGAUUAGAUACCCUGGUAGUCCACGACCUAACGAUAGACACUCGCUGUUGUCGAUACACAGU
rnacentral:rRNA from 1 species